GAAGAGUUUAAGAAUCAUUCUUGUCAAGUUCCGUAAUGACCCUGGUGAUGCCUUGACUGGAAUUUCAUUUAAUCUAUAAGUUAGGAAAUAGCGUCAUUUUUUUCUGUGUUUAGCCUUCAGCCGGAAGUAUGGUCUCUCUCUUCGUUUGAGUUUCUGUUUCUCCCAUUAAGGAUUUGUGUUUUCUUUAUAUAAUUCUGAUGUAUAUAUGUGGAAUUUGAUAUGUGAAUAUAUAUCAUGUAUUUCCCAAGUAUUUGAUGUGUUUAUUGCUACUGUGAAUGGAUCCUCUUUCAUCAUUAUAUUCAGGCUGUUUCUCUUGUGCUUAUAGGAACGGUAUUGAUUUCUGUGCAUUUUUCUCCUAUUCUGCUACCGUUAGAAUUGGUUGCUUUAUGAGGCAACCAGGAGCCUGCGCAGGCCAACGCUCAGCGGAGGUUGCUGCAGGAGGGUUUUGUAGAAGGGAAUCCCGCACAAGGGAGCGACUUGAGCUGAGUCGGUGGUUGCCAAAUGCCAAUGCGCAGUGAAGUGAGAAAAAUAAAGAUGAUGUAGUGGGGUUUUCAUCAGGUUAAAUUUAUUCAGGGAAGGGACUGUCCUUGAGAUGGAGGCUGCGUAAGCAUCCUACCUUUUGGUAUUUCAGUGUCAUUUCUUUUUGAGUGACAAUAGAUAGUGAUAUGGGUUUUCUGGUUUUAAGAUUUUGUUUUUAAAUUUGGUUUUUAUUUAGUUUUUUUUUUUUCUUUUGUUUGGGGUUUUUUUGCGGUAUGCGGGCCUCUCACUGUUGUGGCCUCUCCCGUUGCGGAGCACAGGCUCCGGACGCGCAGGCUCAGCGGCCGUGACUCACGGGGCCCAGCCGCUCCGCGGCAUGUGGGAUCUUCCCGGACCGGGGCACGAACCCGUGUCCCCGGCAUCGGCAGGCGGACUCUCAGCCACUGCGCCGCCAGGGAAGCCCUUAUUUAGUUUUUUAAAUGACUUUACUUAGCAUAUUAAAAAAAAAGAAAAACUGGGUGGCAACCCAGGUUGGCAUUCCAUAUUUAUUUGGAAAUUUUAGCAUUGUCUGAAAUCUCAAAAUCAGGAACUUCCAACUCAUGUCCUUUCCGACUCCACAGUUUUGUGAUAUUUGGUAAUUCUGGGCUUUUUUAAAUUUUAAAAUAAUUUUUCGUUUAUUCUUUUGUCUUCUAGUUAGCCUUAUCGUUUAGUUAAAUUGGUGUUUUUAUUCUUUCAUCUUUUUUUGGUUUCUUCACCCUUCCUUUGUGUGUCGCCAUGUUCUCUGAAAGUAUGUGAGAGACAAGAAUCUUUGCUCCUUUUCUAAAUGAGAUGGGUGCAGUGGCGCAUCCUCAUUGUGUUUCUUUCUUUAAAGGGCUUUUCUCUUAAUGUCUUUUCUCUGAUAGUAUUUAGGUGGGUUCUAAAAGGAAACAAGAUGGUAUCCAAUGAGAGGAACUCAACAGAGGGAGUUGGGAUGAGAAGGAAGAAGCCAGAUUUGGGACCAGCUGGGCUGAAUAUACACCUUGCCUCCUUCUGCUUCAUAGCUAACCAGUGGCAUUACCUGUCUGGUCUUCUGCCUCCACAGUUGCAAAAUAAGAUCCUUCUAGGGUCCAAAGAAACCUCCUUCCAGGGUUGUGGAGGUGAUCACAUGAGGAAAGAAAUAGGAACUGCUUAGUAGUGGUUGAUGGCAAGCAUACUGGUACUGAGCUGCUGCAAUGAGAGUUCAUUCGGUCAGUGGUAGGGUAGCUGUCACUGAUGGUGGUGGUAAAGGUGAAGAAGCAGGAGGGUGAUGGUUAGGAUUGGCGGGAGCCCAGCGAGGCAGAAGGGGCCUGACGGAAAGUGGGAGAGGCCAGUCGUGUUGGGUCUUGUCUCUUAGUGGCCUCUUAGAUACCACAUCUUCUUUAUCCACUCAUCUGUCAUUGGACACUUAGGUUGCUUCCAUGACCUGGCUAUUGUAAAUAGUGCUGCAGUGAACAUAGGGGUGCAGGUAUCUUUUCAAAUUAUAGUUUUGUCUGGAUGUAUGCCCAGGAGUGGGAUGGCUGGGUCAUAUGGUAGCUCUAUUUCUAGUUUUUUAAGGAAUCUCCAUACUGUUCUCCACAGUGGCUGCACCAACUUACAUUCCCACCAGCAGUGUAGGAGGGUUCCCUUUUCUCCACGCCCUCUCCAGCAUUUGUUAUUUGUAGACUUUUUGAUGAUGGCCAUUCUGACUGGUGUGAGGUGGUACCUCAUUGUAGUUUUGAUUUACAUUUCUCUAAUAAUUAGUGAUACUGGGUAUCUUUUCACAUUCCUGUUGGCCAUCUGUAUGUCUUCUUUGGAGAAAUGUCUAUUUAGGUCUUCUGCCCAUUUUUUGAUUGAGUUGUUUGUUUUUUUGAUAGUAAGCUGUAUGAGCUCUUUGUGGCCUCUCGAUGGAAGGUCUUAGAAGCCAUAGUUUGAUCUACAGAAAUGCACAGAGUACCCACUAUGGGCCAUACUCUGUAUUAGGCACCAGGAUAUGAAGGUGAGCUCUCUCCGACCCUGUCUCUCCACCCAGAGCUGGGGAUCUGGAAACAAUGCAUCACCACGUGAAGGAGGUUCUCAUUACAGCCCGACUCGAGCUAAGGGCACUGGAAAAGAAACGUGCCUUUUUUUUUUUUUUUUUUCAGAGUAUAUGGCGGAGGAAGCUGCCCUCGAUCUGGGCACAUCAGGAAUACUUUCCUGGGAAGAUGAUAUGUGCACACUUGAGCUGUGAACUGAAGGGUGAAUGUGGGGUGGGGGUCGGGCGUACAGUUCCAAGGUCAGGAAUAGCGUUCACGAGCCCUCUAGUGAAAAGGAUGACGGGUUAGGGGAACCAGCCGAAGGUCAGCGGAACUGGGGCACAGAGUGAGCUGGGUCUGGAGGGUGGGCAGGGGCUGCCACGCAGGGCCUCGUUGGCCUGGCAGGACGAAAGGCGGUCUUUAUUGUGUCUUGAACAGGGAAACCUCUGUCCUGAUGGACGGGAGGUGCCGUCAUCAGGUUGUCGGUUUCAAAAGUCUCUCUGGCCACGGGGUAGGGGGUUGGAAUUUGAGGUGCAGAGAGAUGGUGGUGGCUGGGAGCACGACUUUGAGAGUUAUUUAGGAGGUUGACCAACAAGGCCUGGCAGCAGCAUGGAUGUGGGGCAUUGGCUGGGUGAAGGAAGACACCUGGCGGAACUGGCCGAAGUCAGUGCCUUUCCCUGGGCUCGAGGGGGCAUGGGACCUCGAGUUCUGAUGGGGUGAGUGGGGUGAGAGGCGGCCAUUCUAACUAACCUGUGGGGUUGGGGUCUUUUUUUUUGGGCCGUGCUGCGAAGCAUGCGGGCUCUUAGUCCCCGACCAGGGAUCAAACCAGUGCCCCCCGCAGUGGAAGCACUGAAUCCUAACCACUGGACUUCCAGGGAAGUCCCUAACCUGUGGAGUUAGAAGUGCCUUUGGACCACGUGUGAGGAGGAGUCGACUAGGCAGAAAGAGGUCAUGGGUCUGGAGCUCGAUGGAAGGGCAGCCGUGGGAGCAGAAGGAAUCUGGCGCUAAGGGGGGUACCAGGGAGGGGCACCCCGAUGGAGGACAGAAGCUGUCCCAGAGCUGGAAGGGACCUGGGAGAUCAAAUCUUAGCUUCUUGGCUGUACAGGUGAGGAAACAUGCUUAGAGGCGGGUGGGACCUGCCAGCUAGUGGCAAAGCCGUCUCUCAGACGGGAUCUUUUGUGGUCCGGGUUCAGUGCUUGGUUCGCUGUGCCAACUGGGGGCCUUCACGGAGACACUGAACGCGAGCCAAGGGCUCGGAUGUCAGCCCCCUGAUUCCAGGUCUAUUUCUUGUCAGCACCCAAAUGGACAGUUCAGAGCUUCACAUUCUUUUCUUGAUCCACUUUAGAACUGACGUUCUGCCGGCUCCUUAUUAAAGAAAGAGCAAAGCAAGAGCCGGCUACAAAUGUUGGGAAGCUAGAAAUAGAACUAUACCAGGCCCUUAGUAAUCAAGCCUGGCAAAGUCCACACGGCAGCCAGAAGAAGGACUUGGGCGCGGUUAAAGCGAAGAUUGUUUGGCGACGCUCUCUUUUUCUGCCAGUUAUUCAAAUACCCAGCCAACUCCAAAAGCACCAGUUACUACCUAAAGCUCGUCCCUCAGAUACGGGAAUUAGGUACAAGAAAGGCAAGUUAAUCUUCCUCAAGACCCUCUCUCAGGAUGUCUACUCCAUGAGACCCGUGGUAUAUUAGCAGCUUCUCCCAGCCAUUACUUUAAAAAUUUAAUGUUUAAUUAGACGUGGAACAUAGGAAUUAGAUGCGUUACAUAAGAAGUUAAAAAUACUAACUAGAGCUAAGGCUAAAGGCUGCCUUAGUGACCCUCCACCAGCCGCGGGCUCCAUAACCCACCUCUCGAAUCCCCCUGAGGUUACCGGCUAGUUUCCACAGAAAAAUGGCUUUUUAAAAGAAACACAAGCAGCGUCUAUGCCACCUUGUGGCUUUUCACUUGGCCCCGUAUCUUAGAGACCCUUCUGCACUGGUUCCCGUAAGCUGCCUGGCUCCUGGAUUGUCACCCGUUGUCCCUGGUCUGAAUAGAAGAUACUGACAGUCACCUCCGUGUUGACGUGUGCUUGGUCCCUGUUGGAAGAGCGUUGCCCCCCGUCCCGGCACCUGCUCCAUGUGUGCGUUCACAGGGGUUUCUCUCGGGUCGAUCUCAAGCGGUGGGACUGCUGGGUCCCAGGUAGACACAGGGCUUUGGCUCAGCCGCCCUUCAGUACGAGGCCACCAGUUCGUCCCCACCAGCGGUGCAUGUGUCCCCAAUCUCAACACCACCCCGUUCCUCUGACCCAGAGAACCCAGACCUUCCUGGGUUGGGAGUGAGGGCUCGGGGCUGGGCCUCUGGGACUGUGACCUUGGGUUCAUCAUUCUUGUCUCUAACCAGUCAAGAAAAAACGUUGAACUUCAGUGAAGUUCGUUUCAGAGAUCUGCCACGAAGGCAAGGGGCGGGAAACCUCACUGAAAGAUCUGAGAAGAGAGAGGCCAGGUGUGCUGGGGUCGAGGCCACUUUUAGUUUAGUCCUGAAGGUAACUGAGCUCUUUUAGAAACAGCACCGUUCACACCACUACCUCGGGGUGGAGAGCUCUGCUGCGCUCUGUUGAUUGCAGCCCUCAUCGCUGGAUUGUUUUGAACCUGAGCGGUAGACCUCCUGUCCUAAUCCCGGAUCUAGACAGUUUAAGUUGGGAAUGGCCACAAUUUAAAGAAUGCCCUCCAGCCUUUGAAAUCCAGGUCUCUGUCCUCCCCCUGCUUCCCACCCUACUCACUGCAGACAUAGACAAGUUAGUCAUGGUGCAUAACUAGGGUGACCUAAUCAUUUGUCAGCCAACCGGGACACGUUUGAGUGUGCAAGGCAGUGCUAACUGCGGGGGGAUACUGGGAUGACAGGUAAAGCAGGACUUCCCUGGCAAACUGGGCUGUAUAGGCACCUGGCUUUUCCUUAAUAAUAAUAAUACUGUUAUUAAUAAUGUGACACUACAAAUAAAUAAAUGAGGUAAUACAGUGAACAAUAAUAUAAUUAUUUUUAACAUGUUUAAAAGAGUCAGUUCCCAUUUCAAGUAUUUUUAAAAUAGACUUGUAUGUGAUGAGAGCAAGGUCUGCCAUUGAGAGCACCUGUUAAGUUGGGUGAACUGCCUACACGAAGAGUGACAUUUGUUCAUCUGUGUUUCUUUCUGAAGUCAUUGUGGAAACUUGGGGAAAAGAACAAACUGAGGAGAGGAGAAACAGGAGCUUCUCCAGGGGCUCCUUGGGGUUCAUGACCGCGAGCUGAGCCCAGCGACCCCCCUUGUUGGGGCUUCCUUUGGUAGCAGCUGCAGUGGGUAGGGGGCGGGCUCUGGGCUGGCAGAGCCAUGGAAACGCCCCGAAGCACAGGGCCUCGAGCAGAGAAGGCUCAGUCCAGGCUGGGCGGCCGGCCUGCUGUGUGCAAUGGCCGUUUUUAGGCAGAGAACAUAGUCGGAACUUUCUGAGCUCAAUAGUACCUUAGAAGUUAGAGAAAAUUUACAGCCUUAGAAACAUCGAGAUCAUUUGUGCUCAGAGUUCGCUUAUUUCUGUUCUACCUUCACGAUUUUUGCCAUAUCUGCAUCCUCUAAGCACAUAAUAGUUUUCUUUAAACCGACUUGCUUUCUUCUCGUAAAUGAGUUUGCUUUUAAAGGAGAAUUAUAUCAGCGUCACUUAGCUUGUGGCUGAGUAUUUUUUAAAUACACGCCAAGAUCAGCGAGUAGCUCUAAAACGGACAGCCCCUCUGUUGCCUCGUGCCCCUCAGAAUCGCCUCGGCCACCGCCUGGAUCUAGUCCAGCGCCCUCUUCUCCGAGACACAUACUCACGUGGACCCCAGGGAGGCUGUGAAGACAGGUGGUCUUCCUGUCUCCCUCUCCAGUGACUUUUUGCCAUCAAAGGGGACAAAUUAGAGUUGACCCCAGUAUGGAGUAAGGCCGCUCCUAGUGGAGGCGUGGUGGGAAGGAUUCUGGUUCCAGCCAGCUGCACCCUGUGGAGUUUCAACAGGACCGAAUGGCUCGGGGCGGAUUUUCUUUCCAUGACAUUUGCCUUCUAAUAAUAAAUCGACAGAUGUAGUUGUCUCGCUCUGCCUUUACCGUGACAUUUGCCGUCACUUCGCAUGUUUUUGUUUGCAGACGCAGCCAAGAAACACGCUUCUCCGGGAGGCUUCACCCUGUGCCCUUGGCCUCGGCAGAGCCGUGCUGCAAGCAGCGGCCACUCGGGCUCGGGCCCCUCUUCCUUCCCGCCCGGCUUCUCGCGGGGCCGCCCUCUCCCCUCAGAGCCACGGCCACUCCUGUCCUUCGGGGCUUUUCCGGGAAUUCCCUGGAGCAGUGGGGUCUUUCCUUCCAUCGUGCUCUCUGUUCUCGACUGGCUGCCAGAAAAUGCCAGAAAAGAGCCCGUGCCUAAAAGUCCAUAUUCAGACGUGGUAGGAUCCGCGUUUCAUAAAGUUCAAAAGCAAGCAGUAUAUGCACGAGGAAACCGCAGUGAUGUUCACGAUAAGCACACGAUAAACCCCAGCUGACAUCUUUGUUGCCUAUGCAGAGAAGGUGGGCAGGGCAGGGGAGCAGGGGAUUCUAGUCCAUAAGGUUACCGAUUGCGCUUCCUUGGGUCGGCUGGAGGGUUACAGGGCUCAUUGUAGGAUUUUUAAACACUAAAUUUAAAAGGUCUGCAUCGGUGGAAGGGACAUCUGACACCAGUCCAGGGCGUGCAGGGAGUGGACCCGUCGUGCUGUGGACUUCCAGGGCCUGCUCGCUUCUCUGCUGCUUGUACAGACUGACCGGUGCCCGGAGAGUUCCGGUGCGCGCUAGGCCCUCAGCAAACUUUUGCUGAAUAUUGUUUUCACAUGUGUAUUUGUAAAGUUGCAAUGGGAAUUUCCAAGCGCUCCGAGGCAACGAUGAGGCAGGUGGAGCUGAGGUCCAGGGCCCCAGCACAGCUGUGUGGCAUAAGCCCCGGCGCCCUGCUUCCCUUGUCACCCCCAGCCUUUUCUCCAGCGGCCUUUAAAGCGUCUAAAUCCCAGAAAUCAUCUCAUUGCUCCCACUCUUCCUGAGUUCUUUUGGGGUCUGUUGAAGCCGCCCUCCUCCUAUGCCCCUGGGGAGAGCGUGUCAAGGUCACGGGCCCUGCUUUCCCUGCCUCUUCCCCAUGGGGCGUUUAAUCACUGCACAGACCGAGGGGACCCUCGCCAGGGGAGGGGACCCUUGCUGCUGUGAGCCCCAGGAGGCUCCUAGAGCCACCCCCCAUCGUUUGGGUUCCCUUUGAACGGCCCCCCGAUUGCUCACUGGAGAUGUCCCCAGUUCCCAAAGCAAAGGUGGACACAUUUCCAGUGACGAGGCAGGUUGCAGCCAUGGUCUAUUUAAAAGAAUGCCCGUUUGGAACAUACGGGCCCCAAAUCAGUGUGAUGUCAGUUGUCACCGUCCGUGUGGAAAGAUUUUGCCACGGCCAGCUGCCGGUCCUCUUUGUGCUAUAUUAAUACAAGGGCCACGGGGCCCAUCGGGGUUGGAAGCCAGGGAGAGAGGGACAGCUGUGGCAGACAUCACACCAUGCUCCCGGCAUGUGCUCCGUGUCACGGGCACGCAGAUGGCUCAGAGGCCCCCAGCCCGCGCCUGUCUUCUCCUUGUAGGGCCAGGAAUGGGCUCAAGCUGGCAAUACACUCGAUGCAGGAGCCAAGCGAAGAGUGGCGGGAUGGGGACGGAGGGCUCGGCCGACCCCGCGUUCUGGGUCAGCUGACGCGUUUACUGGAAGCGGAGGCAUGUGCUGGCCGAGUGAGGCCCCGGUAUUCAGACAGCUGGGGGUAUUGGGUUCUAUAUGCCAAGGCUGGACAGAUAUUUUUAAAUGUCCCAGGACAAAGGGAAGCCCAGUCGGCAGCAGGGUAGAGGGGCAGGGGGAUUUGGAGGACACCACUUCACCAUAGCUAGAUUUGGUCGGGAGAGCUGGGCAGGAUUAGUGUCUGGGAAGAAGCCCAGCAUGUGAAGAGGUAGCAGGAGGGUCCUGUGAGUGAGUGGUAGGCCCUGGCAGGCAGAGGAGGGCAGGUGAGGAUGCAGAGCAGGUGCAGGGGCCAGGGGACGUGCCCAGGACAGGUCUGGAGGUGGGAGGUUGGCAGGACUGAGCCCCCAGCUCAGAGGGACGGGAUGCGGAUGCAGCCUGUGGUUCAGGCCCCUGGUUUUGGGUGUCAAACAGACCAGAGCACCAGGCUUACCCUGGUCCACCCCACGCCCCUGGGCGACGGCUCAUCUGCCCGGGCGCUUCCUCCCUCCCCCAGAAGGCCCGGGGCUCUGGGAGACCAAGCCGCUAAGCGUCGCUGUUACCGUCAACAGCAAAACCUCAUCGGUGCACACCCGCCACCCCAGAGUGGCGGUGGAAGCUGCCCCCGGGCCUGAGCCCACCCAGGGACGGGUUGUGUCUCGACUGCACAGAUGUUUUUAGGUCCGACUUCUGAUAGCCGCCAGCAUUUUGGUAGUAGGCGAUCUGACCAAAGCUUUGGAGAUUUGAUUUCUCUUGGCCUAAGGGAGCCUCUGGGUGUCUGGGGCCUGCCAUCCACAGGCCCCCGAAGCUGAGGGGGUGGCCGCCCCCUGUCGGCGAGCCUCACACCCGCCACCGCACCGUCACCUGGCUCCGUCACUCAAGGCCGAGCAGGGCCUGGCCUCUGUAGGCAUUUUCACUUGUCCUCCGGCAGUAAAGUGGAGCUAUUAUUAUCUCAGAAGGAACGAGGGCCAUCAGAAUUAGCCUCUGAGCUGCUGGCCGGGGCCUCCUUGACUUUGCCGUGACAUUGGGCUGGGAGACCUGGGCUCAUGGACAAGCCCUGAGUGGCCCAGCCUGGGGAGGAGCAGGUAACGGAAGGGGGCAGCGAGCCCCUCACCAGGCCUCGGCCAGGCCCAUGGGGCCAGCGAGGUGGCCCAGUUUUCUCCCCAUGGCCGCUUCGUAGCCUGAACAGACACUCCACAGGGUCAGGGCAGUUACCGCGGCUACACCGGCAUUUGUGUGUCUCUGGGCCUCUCGGCUGUGGCCAGGCGGGGGCUCAGGAAGGUGCUGAGGAGGCCAGGGCAGGGCCGAAACCUGGGUGUGGCUCCUGGACACAGGGGAAGGAGAAGCGGAGGGGGCCGGGCUGAGGGUGGGGUUCUCUUGGGGCCCCUGGGGCCCUUGGCUGGCGGCGGGCAGCCCUUGAGUUCAUUCCUAUUCCUGUGCAGAGUUUCCUCCUUGUCCUCUGCAGGUCAGACUUCUCUGUUGCUUGUCCAGGCCCCUGGGAAGGAGCCACGGCAGCCAUGCCUGCGGCUGGGCCUUCGGGGCCACCUCCGUGGACGCUUAGUCGGAGAUCCCUCCUCUCCCGUUUCUCCUGUGGGAGAAGCGCUGGGUUGGCUGUCAGCACACAGCCUGCCCCAUGCUCGGUCUUUUUGUGGAGAAGCCCUACUCCUGAUUUGUUUGUUUCCCUUAGUUUGAUGUGUCUCGUGGUGCCUGCCCUCUCCCAGACACGAGGAGAAUACAUUCAUUCACUUAGUCUUGUAACCUUACGGGGAAGCGGAGGCACAGAGAGGUCAAGUAACUUGCCUGCGGCUGUACAGCUGGCAAAUGGGGGAGCCUAGAUUGGAAGUCAGGUGGUGGGUCAGGCUCCAGAGCUCACUCUCCAAGCUGCUGCCUUUGAAUGCCUCUCAGGGCAUGAGGGGGCUCCAGGGAGGGGUCUGAGAUGGAGCUUGGACUGAGUCAGGAGCCUGCUGGGUCACAAGCUGGGGAAAGGCUCUGGCGUGGGAAGAGCUGGCCAUGGGCCGUAGGGACAGCAGAGUCCAGCUUGGCUGCAGGAAGUGGGGGGGCGGGCGUGAGAGGAGGGCAGCAGGCUGAGGGGUCUAAGCCGUGGUCUGAACCCACGCCUCCUAAAGUCCCCCUGCUGUGACCUCCCUGGUGGCGCAGCGGUUAAGAAUCCGCCUUCCAACACAGGGGACGUGGGUUCAAUCCCUGGUCCGGGAGGAUCCUCCAUGCCGCAGGGCAACUAAGCCUGAGCGCCAUAACUGCUGAGCCCACACGCCACAAAUAGAGAAGCCUGUGCACUGCAACUAGAGAGCCCUGCGUGCCUCAGUGAAGACCCAGGGCGGCCAAAAGGAAAAAACAAAGCCUCCUGCUACCGCGGAGGAGAUCGUCGGAGGCAGGAAGGAGCAGCGGGGGACCAGUCAGUCCAGAUGAGGCCUGGCCGGAGCCACCAGUUGGCGGGGAGAGUGUCUGAGAUGAUCUGGGGGGCUCACAGCACGGCUGGUGGGCGCAUGAGAGGGGUCAGAGGUGACUUGGGGGGGCUGGGGUCUGCUUGCCAAGGCCAGUCUCAGGGCGGCUUUCCCUCUGGGUCCUUGUUUUUGACAGUUUAGAAGAGGGUCCCUGGUACAUCUGGGCCCUUCCUCAGCCCUUGGGCUCAGCCUGUCCUCGGAGCUGGUUCCUUCUGGCCUGGAGCCCACGUGGUGGGGAGGUUGUCCUCGUUGGGGAGAUGGCCGAGACUGGCGAAACCAGUGUGCACGGUGACCCAGCCUCCGGCAAUGCCUCCCUCCCACCGGUCCCCUUCUGAAGGGGCCACCCAUCUUCAUCCUCUUGCCAGGGUGUUACAGGGGUUUUCUGGGGUUUUUGGACCAGUGAGGAAAGCGAUGCUGGAGAGAGGGUCAGUGCUGGGAGCUGCUUCUCCAGUCCCCUGACGGGAACAGCAGGCUGGGUGGGCUGCGUGGGUGUCUGGUGUUGCGGGUCCACUGUGAAGGGGUCUCUGGGACACCCCCAGGCUCCCACUGGAGCCCCACCCGGCGUCCUGCUCUCUCUGGGUGAUUGACCUUCCCGGGGGCCCGAGCCUUGGCACAAAGUGCCCCAGGCCCCCGCCAGCAGAUGGCGCAGCUGCAGUAACCCAGCUGGCCGUGCCCCUUUCUCAGGAGACACCGGGGGUGGGGCUCCCGCGGCCCCCGCACCCUGGACACCUCCUGGACCUGCUCUUGAACCUGGCUGUGUGGUCACAGGUAAGUGACACGACCCGCGUGGCUUUCCCUGUCCGUACCAUGGUUGGGUGCAGGGACCACGGGUUCCACCAGCUCUGUCAUUCCAUCCCGAGCGCCACACGGUAGGGCUCCCCACCCCCGUGCCUGCUCCGCAGAAACAGCAGGAGCUCGCAGCCCCAACUUCUUCCUCCGGCCAACUGGAUGGGCUUCAGAGAAGCUCUUCUGAGCCUGGCUAGGGCCCCGAAGGAGUCAACUCCAGGCAGGUGAUUUGUCUAAGAUCACAAAAAAGGCCUGGGGGAUCUCGACUCAACCCACUUCAUUAACAACCUGCUCCCCUUCAUCUGAAAAGGGGCCCCAUUUUCAAAACCAUGACCGCUUCUCCCUUAAAUCAGCAGCGGACGACAGCCUAAAGAUUGCCCGUAAAUAUACGUUGCCCUGAGGGCUGUUUUGGCCAUUAGAAGAAGGACACCAAGUCAAAGCCUUUCUGCUCUCGAGCGUCCUUGGAGCCGUCAGCAGCGGUGUCCCCCCUCUGAAGCCCCGACACGACUGUGUGGUACCCCUGAACCUCCAUAAUGCCACCUCCUUGAUUUGAAACCUCAGUGCUUCAGCCCCUCCUUGAUGGGAGUCUAAGCUCGCCCUCUGAAGGAAAGGUUUGCUAAGAAAACAGAAUUUUAUGCACAGUCUCGGGAGGUAAGGCGUGGUCUUCACCCUCCACCAGAACCUGCCUGUUCUUAAGGGUUUCCAUGUUGCAUGAUCUGCAGGUUAGAGUUGGGUCACGUCUAGCUUUGAAUAAAGGCCCAGCAAGUUGCCUCUUAGAAAUACCUUGUCACAGCUGACCUUAGGUUCACUAUGGGACUUCUUUAAGAUGGUCUGAUUAAUUCAUGGUGGCCACCCCACGGCCCGUAGCCACCUGAGACAAGAGGAUUUACUGUACCAGUUUAUUGCCAGGCCGUAUCAGCUGAUAAGCAGGAAACUAUAGACCAUCUGUUUAAAAAUAAAAAUAAAAUAAAAAAUUAACAGCGGCACAGCCCUAGAGCAAACACUUUGUACUGCUGCAUAGUAAACGAGCCUGAUGGAUGUAGUGACCUUGGCUGAGGUAGCCACGGGCUUGUCCCUCCGUCCCUGUGUGUCCGGGGCGCUGGGCUGCUCAGAUCUGUGGCCUUCCGGCCCCCAAGCAACACCCUGGAGGGCAGAGCUCCCCGCCCCACAGAGCCCUGGGCGUCACUCCCGUCCUGGCCGCACCAGGCUCCCCCCUCCAGCUCUGGCCACAUUUGCGGGUCUCUAACUCUCUUUAGGCCACAGCGACUGUCCCCAGGCAGGAUGUCCAGCCCCAUCAGCCGAGAGCCCCCACGUUCAGUCGCGUGGACCCAUCGUGGAGGCUGGCCUGUGGGGUGGGCGGGACACGGGAGCGUGGGCCAAGGAGGGCUUCCUGGGGCCGCGAAGGACGGGCCUUUUGCUUGGCUUCGCGGUGAGCUGCCAGCCCCGUUUUGAUUUGCAGCUUUUGUUCGGUACUGCGCGGGGUCUCCUUCGCCUUGGCACUGGCUGGGCGGGGGAGGCGUCAUCACGGCUCUCCUCGGGUCCGCACGCAGGACGACAUCGUUGGCGCGGCCCGCCACUCAAAUCAAGGCAGCAACAGAACCUUCCGAGAAAAGCCUUCAGAAGUGAAAUGUCGAGGCUGCCGUUAUGCGUGAGACGGUGGCAGAGCCGCGAUCCGCUUCUCUUCCUUUCCAGGGUGCCCUGAGGCUGCUGCCGAGCCCACGUUCAAAGGCUGUUUCUUCAAAGUAAACGGUGCUGCCUUCGAACUGGGAGGGGAAGCGGGCGGUUGGGAGGCAGGUUUCCACGUGCGUGUUGAACGGCUGGGGCGUGGUCUUUGGUCCAUGAUCGUGUGAGAACUUGGGGUGCGGACAGGGAGGUCCAAGUCCGUCUGGGCCCCGGUGUUGGCAGGGCCGGGAGGGGGCAUCAGGCACAGCCCUGUGGGAAGUGACCGUGAAGGACCCUUCCGGAGGGCCCCCCCCAAUCCUGUUGUGCUUGGUUCAGAGGGUUGGGCGGAGGCUUUCCUGAAGGCUCUAGGAGUGCUGCACCCACAGGCUGUGUGCUCAGGAGGCGGGACGUGGGCCCUCGGACGAGGGAAAGGCCGGCCGGCCACGUUGUCUGCCUGCUCCCCCCAGGGAGGCCCCAACGCGGUCAGCCGCCCCGUGGUGGCCAGUGGGCAUCGAGAUGCAAGCCCGCCUGUUUUUCCGCUGCUCCAGGCCUCUGGUGUCUCCCCACCGCCUGGAACGCAAAAGCCAUGCCAACCUUGGUCUUGAGCAUCUGCAGCUCCCCAAAGGCCCCCGAUGCUCUUCAGCCUGCACCUGGCCUGCUCCUCCCCUCCUGGGGGUCUUCCUCGCUCUCACCCUGGCUGCCCACCUGGCCUGGCCAGUCCUCCCCACCCUUGGGAAGCCCCCUGACCGUCCAGCCCUCGCUGAGCGUCACAGCCCCUCUCGUCUCGGUUCCUUUGCUGGGUGCUUGUUUGCUGCCCACGCCUCCUACCUCUUCUAGACCGAGCCCCAAGGUGACGGCCAGCUCCGCCACGCGGACUGUUACGCUCUCCAGCUUCUGUCUCCACGCGUGGCACAAAGUAGGUGCCUAAUAAAUUUGUGUAGAACGAA